UGUGUCAACAGUUGUUUUUCUAUUUCUCAUACAGUAUUGACUUGGAGUACUUGAAAUCCAAUUUAUGGGUGGGUUAGAAGAAUGUAAUCGUAUGGUAUUGUCCACCAAAUCAUUAUAUCCUUGAUCAUUGUGAUGGGCAUGGGGUUUAGAUGUUUGGGUCACCGUUAUCCAAAGACUUAAAAUGUAAUUGAAAAUGAUUUUUUUGCAUUUUGAAAGGGAGGGUUCCGACUCGCACCCCCUUAGGGUACACCUCUGAUUGACUCGACCACAAACUCAGAUGACCCUUGACUUGGCUUGCGACCCAGUAUUAUGGGACUUCUACCUAUCCCUAGAAUUCAUGACAAAAUUUUUCUCACAAAAGGCUCUCAUUUUUGCUCCAGACCCUAGUUCUUCCUUUCAAUUCAUUUUUGAUAUGUUCCAAUUUCUGAUUGUUUCAUGCUUCACCACUGAUUUUACUGACAUAUUCAUCUUUUAUUCUGCUGCAUUAGUAUUACUGUAUCUGUAUUCCAUUUUGCUUCUGUCAUUUUUUAGUUCAAUUGUUCUUUGAAUGUAAACUUUGACUGCAUUUAUUACAUUUAGAAAAUUAGUAAUUUUAAUUAUUUUUGAGAGAAAUAAUAUCAACAGAAUUUUGCUUGCUCAACGGGAACCAAGAAAAUGUUGAAUAAAAGUACAAGGGAUGUCGCAACAAUGAAAAACGUCAGUUGGUUCAACUCUUUAUAGUCAACUCCUUGCAGUCAAAGAAAGCAGCAUCAGUCACAUGAGAAAUGCGGCAGACUACAACACCCCCAUGCUAGAAAGUUUUGCCUGUUUCACAAUGAUAUGGGGUUGCCAUAGACUUUGCUCAGAGAUUAAUCUUCUUUACUUCAGACCUAAAUUUGAACAAAUUUCCUCAAAAAGAGAUCUAAAAUAAAGUCAGGAUAUCUGAUUAGAAUUCCAUAUUUAUCCCUGGGGAGAGAAAAGCCGAUGAAAGGGUUAAACAUAUGGUGAACUACGGCCUCUCGUCCGGUUACCAGUCCAUGUCAGGUAUGGCAUCAGUUGGCCAGUUAUUUGUUUUCGAAAGCAUGUUAAUUAAUGGUGGAAGUUACGUGAACCAACCUACAGCGACGAGGAGUCCGACAAUCCUUUCCCAUAUAACCAUCUGAAAGGCAAUCAGAGGUGCGAGGGCGAGCAUAUUCUUAACGUUUAGCACAUUUGUUCUCAACCAGUGGGCCAUAAAACUAUUAAAAAUUUGCUCGUUUUAUUUAUGUCACUCACAAUAGUUAAUUUUGAUUGUAGCAGUAAUCAAUGAUGAUGCUGUUUUCUGCUACUGAGUGGUGAUUACCAUUCUAAUUAUAAACGAUAAAGUGUUCAUUUUCGCAGAAAGAUCUUGAUUUUUCUUCUAGGGUUUCCCUUGCAAUAAAAAGUUACGGGUCACAAGAAUUUUACUGCAAUGAAAAAGGGCCAUGAAAACAAAAGUUGAGAACCACUGGCUUAGCACGAUGCGCCACACCGACGAGCAUCAGAUCGCUGGUACACAUUGUAUAGUAAGCAUAUCCGUGGCAAGCAGUUAUCUGCAUAAGCUCCCCUUUGGGCGAUGGGAACACAGAUGUGCCAUUGCAUGAAUAUGAAACAUACUUAUCGAUUUUAAUCGGUAAGUAUGUUGAUAGGUAUUUGUCUGUCUGUUAGAUGCACGCGAUAUCUCACGAAAGCGAGAUGAAUCUGCUCCAGAUUUUUCAUGUGCAUUCAUCAUAUGUCAGACCUGAAGCCUAUUGAUUUUGGAUGAAUUAUGUCUUAUAAUUAGCGAGUUAUUGAUUAAUUAGUGAUGGGACACAAGGUGUCACUAUGGAGUAAGAGCGCUUUUUUGGGGGAUCUCUGACUGAUAUUCUUAUUUUAUAUUUCUUAGCUACUGUGAUAAGGCCUUGCUCUUUACCAUGUACUUUUUUACAUUUCAAGUGUUGUUAUGGUUUAUAUAAAUAAAGUUUAUGAAUUUGU